AACGAACGCUGGCGGCAUUCCUAACACAUGCAAGUCGAACGAAGCCUUCGGGCUUAGUGGCGCACGGGUGCGUAACGCGUGGGAACCUGCCCCUUGGUUCGGAAUAACAGUUAGAAAUGACUGCUAAUACCGGAUGAUGACGAAAGUCCAAAGAUUUAUCGCCGAGGGAUGGGCCCGCGUAGGAUUAGCUAGUUGGUGAGGUAAUGGCUCACCAAGGCGACGAUCCUUAGCUGGUCUGAGAGGAUGAUCAGCCACACUGGGACUGAGACACGGCCCAGACUCCUACGGGAGGCAGCAGUGGGGAAUAUUGGACAAUGGGCGAAAGCCUGAUCCAGCAAUGCCGCGUGAGUGAUGAAGGCCUUAGGGUGUAAAGCUCUUUUACCAGGGAUGAUAAUGACAGUACCUGGAGAAUAAGCUCCGGCUAACUCCGUGCCAGCAGCCGCGGU
rnacentral:rRNA from 1 species